rnacentral:rRNA from 1 species
UACGUAGGGACCGAGCGUUGUCCGGAUUCAUUGGGCGUAAAGGGUGCGUAGGCGGCGCGGUAAGUCGGGUGUGAAAUCUCGGAGCUUAACUCCGAAACUGCAUUCGAUACUGCCGUGCUUGAGGACUGGAGAGGAGACUGGAAUUUACGGUGUAGCGGUGAAAUGCGUAGAUAUCGUAAGGAAGACCAGUGGCGAAGGACGGGUCUCUGGACAGUUCCUGACGCUGAGGCACGAAGGUCAGGGGAGCAAACGGG